rnacentral:rRNA from 1 species
CGGCAGGCUUAACACAUGCAAGUCGAGGGGUAACAUUGUGCUUGCACAGAUGACGACCGGCGCACGGGUGCGUAACGCGUAUAGAACCUACCUUUUACAGAGGAAUAGCCUUUAGAAAUGAAGAUUAAUGCCUCAUGGUAUUGUAGACUGGCAUCAGUUUAUAAUUAAAGAUUUAUCGGUAAAAGAUGGCUAUGCGUCCUAUUAGUUAGUUGGUAAGGUAACGGCUUACCAAGACAGCGAUAGGUAGGGGUCCUGAGAGGGAGAUCCCCCACACUGGUACUGAGACACGGACCAGACUCCUACGGGAGGCAGCAGUGAGGAAUAUUGGACAAUGGAGGAGACUCUGAUCCAGCCAUGCCGCGUGUAGGAAGAAUGCCCUAUGGGUUGUAAACUACUUUUAUACAGGAAGAAACACUGGUAUGUAUACCAGCUUGACGGUACUGUAAGAAUAA